rnacentral:lncRNA from 8 species
GUCAAGGGGUAUGAAUACUUUCUGAAGGCACUCUGUUCAUCAUCACUCCUCUUCUCCUUUCCUCUCCUCUGUUCAUCAUCACUCCUCUUCUCCUCUCCUCUCCCCUGUUCAUCAUCUGUUCUCCUCCUCUCCUCUCCUCUGUUCAUCAUCUGUUCUCCUCUUCUCUCCUCUGUUCAUCAUCUGUUCUCCUCUCCUCUGUUCAUCAUCUGUUCUCCUCUCCCCUGUUCAUCAUCUGUUCUCCUCUUCUCUCCUCUGUUCAUCAUCUGUUCUCCUCCUCUCCUCUCCUCUGUUCAUCUGUUCUCCUCCUCUCCUCUCCCCUGUUCAUCAUCUGUUCUCCUCUUCUCUCCUCUGUUCAUCAUCUGUUCUCCUCUCCUCUGUUCAUCAUCUGUUCUCCUCUUCUCUGUUCAUCUGUUCUCCUCUUCUCUCCCCUGUUCAUCAUCUGUUCUCCUCUCCUCAGUUCAUCUGUUCUCCUCUCCUCUGUUCAUCAUCUGUUCUCCUCUCCUCUGUUCAUCUGUUCUCCUCCACUCCUCUCCUCUGUUCAUCAUCUGUUCUCCUCUCCUCUCCUCUGUUCAUCAUCUGUUCUCCUCUUCUCUCCCCUGUUCAUCAUCUGUUCUCCUCUUCUCUGUUCAUCUGUUCAUCAUCUGUUCUCCUCUCCUCUGUUCAUCAUCUGUUCUCCUCUUCUCUCCCCUGUUCAUCAUCUGUUCUCCUCUUCUCUGUUCAUCUGUUCAUCAUCUGUUCUCCUCUCCUCUGUUCAUCAUCUGUUCUCCUCUCCUCUCCUCUGUUCAUCAUCUGUUCUCCUCUUCUCUCCCCUGUUCAUCAUCUGUUCUCCUCUUCUCUGUUCAUCUGUUCAUCAUCUGUUCUCCUCUCCCCUGUUCAUCAUCUGUUCUCCUCUUCUCUCCUCUGUUCAUCAUCUGUUCUCCUCUCCUCAGUUCAUCUGUUCUCCUCCUCUCCUCUCCUCAGUUCAUCUGUUCUCCUCCUCUCCUCUGUUCAUCUGUUCUCCUCUCCCCUGUUCAUCAUCUGUUCUCCUCUCCUCUGUUCAUCAUCGCUCCUCUUCUCCUUUCCUCUCCCCUGUUCAUCAUCUGUUCUCCUCCUCUCCUCUGUUCAUCAUCUGUUCUCCUCUCCUCAGUUCAUCUGUUCUCCUCCUCUCCUCUGUUCAUCUGUUCUCCUCUCCUCUGUUCAUCAUCUGUUCUCCUCUCCUCUGUUCAUCAUCUGUUCUCCUCUUCUCUCCCCUGUUCAUCAUCUGUUCUCCUCCUCUCCUCUGUUCAUCAUCUGUUCUCCUCUCCUCAGUUCAUCUGUUCUCCUCCUCUCCUCUCCUCAGUUCAUCUGUUCUCCUCUUCUCUCCCCUGUUCAUCAUCUGUUCUCCUCCUCUCCUCUCCCCUGUUCAUCAUCUGUUCUCCUCCUCUCCUCUCCUCUGUUCAUCUGUUCUCCUCUCCUCUCCCCUGUUCAUCAUCUGUUCUCCUCUUCUCUACCCUGUUCAUCAUCUGUUCUCCUCCUCUUCUCUCCCCUGUUCAUCAUCUGUUCUCCUCUUCUCUCCUCUGUUCAUCAUCUGUUCUGUUUCUCCUCUCUAAGGCCCCUUCAUAUGACCUGUUGUCUCUCCUCCAAAUUGCCUGGACAAACGAUCUGUCACUCCUUCUCUCCGUCUCCUUCUCUCCCUGUCCGGCACUCUCAUCACUUCUGCUGUUCUGUUUGCUUUUCUCAUGCAUCUCAGAGAUGUGUGUCUCUACUCUCUGUUUGUCUUGGACCCCAUAG